CGAUGUCGAUUUGGAGGUUGUGCCCUUGAGGCGUGGCUUCCGGAGCUAACGCGUUAAAUCGACCGCCUGGGGAGUACGGCCGCAAGGUUAAAACUCAAAUGAAUUGACGGGGGCCCGCACAAGCGGUGGAGCAUGUGGUUUAAUUCGAUGCAACGCGAAGAACCUUACCUGGUCUUGACAUCCACAGAACUUUCCAGAGAUGGAUUGGUGCCUUCGGGAACUGUGAGACAGGUGCUGCAUGGCUGUCGUCAGCUCGUGUUGUGAAAUGUUGGGUUAAGUCCCGCAACGAGCGCAACCCUUAUCCUUUGUUGCCAGCGGUCCGGCCGGGAACUCAAAGGAGACUGCCAGUGAUAAACUGGAGGAAGGUGGGGAUGACGUCAAGUCAUCAUGGCCCUUACGACCAGGGCUACACACGUGCUACAAUGGCAUAUACAAAGAGAAGCGACCUCGCGAGAGCAAGCGGACCUCAUAAAGUAUGUCGUAGUCCGGAUUGGAGUCUGCAACUCGACUCCAUGAAGUCGGAAUCGCUAGUAAUCGUAGAUCAGAAUGCUACGGUGAAUACGUUCCCGGGCCUUGUACACACCGCCCGUCACACCAUGGGAGUGGGUUGCAAAAGAAGUAGGUAGCUUAACCUUCGGGAGGGCGCUUACCACUUUGUGAUUCAUGACUGGGGUGAAGUCGUACAAGGGUAACC
rnacentral:rRNA from 1 species